CCCUGGCAGCUCAGAUGGUAAAGAAUCUGCCUGCAAUGCAGGAGACCCAGGUUCAAUCCCUGAGUCAGGAA
rnacentral:tRNA from 1 species